rnacentral:rRNA from 1 species
GGGAUGACACAGUAGGAUAAGCUAAGCACACUGUUGGUUAUGUGUGCCCAAGCAUUGAGGCAGUCAAAGUAGGCAAAUCCGCUUUGAUAAUGCUGGGAUGUGAUGGGGAGCGAAAUUUAGUAGCGAAGUAGCUGAUUUCACACUGUCAAGAAAAGUCUCUAUCGAGGUUAAAGGUACCCGUACCGCAAACCGACACAGGUGGGUGAGGAGAGUAUCCUAAGGCCAGCGAGAGAACUGUUGUUAAGGAACUCGGCAAAAUGACCCCGUAACUUAGGGAUAAGGGGUGCCACCAUCAGGUGGCCGCAGAGAAUAGGCCCAAGCGACUGUUUACCAAAAACAUAGGUUUCUGCUAAGUCGCAAGACGAUGUAUAGGAGCUGACGCCUGCCCGGUGCUGGAAGGUUAAGGGGAUGGGUCAGGA